GUGUAAGGAAUAAUCAUACAACAGUUGCCAGAUACAAACAACAUUAUUCUUCUUUUAAGGGGAUGAUAAAGUGCUAGAAUAUUAAGAUUACUUAUCUUUGACAUCCAGUAGAAGAAAUGGAGACUUGUCCAUUUCUUGGACAAUCAUACAACAGUUGCCAGAUACAAACAACAUUAUUCUUCUUUUAAGGGGAUGAUAAAGUGCUAGAAUAUUAAGAUUACUUAUCUUUGACAUCCAGUAGAAGAAAUGGAGACUUGUCCAGAUUCUGGCUUGUCCCCUCAACACUGCAUACUUGAAUAAUGAACUUGAGAGCAUCAGUGUUUGAAGGAAUGAUGAGGUCGGAAAUGUAAAAUGAUUCAACUCGUGCCACCCCAAGAUACUCUUGUGUUGACUCUACCCUUCCAUCCAGACUUCCGACUGCCUGUUUUGCUGGUUUCCCAAGAUAGAUAUUAUACUGGGGGAAUACAGAAUCAUUCCCGUCUUUUAGUUUCCAGAUGAUCUUAGCACUUAGUGUUUUAGUACCCUGAGAAUCUGAAGCAAAUUUAACAUAUUGUGCCUCAACGAGCCAUGAACUAGACAGAGGGAAGUCCGAGUUCUGUCCACUAGUUUUAAUAGAAAUAUCCCCAAGGAUUGCAAAAUAUUCUGCCGGAGUGUGAACUGAUGCAUUAUCUUGAACAUUUGAUGCGGACUCUAGAGUCCGCCUGCUGUUUUCAGGCUCUGGCCUGUAGCAUACAGCACUGAUUCCUGUUAUUGUGUAUCCACCCAUUAUAAUUCUAGCUUCCCGUGUGGCCCAUUCUGUGGUAGUUUCUAGCAUUUUAACUUGGCGUGGAACAAUCAAUUCACUGAAUUUGGUUGAAGAUUGGUCAAUUCUACGGGAUGCAAGAAGUACUGACUUUCUUUCUUUUCUGGCCGAAGAGAACUCGAGAAGGAGGCCAAGUAGAGAAGUUUCUUCUGAUUUUACCUGCAAUGGUGGUAAUUCUCACAGUUAGUCUAGAUGGAAGUAGAAUUACACUGUGGAUUAUACUAAGGUAAUUGGUGGGAAAAAGAAAAAGAAACUCAAAGUUCUUGCAUGGAUCCUAAUGCCUGCUUGUGUACAGAAUGUUCUAAGUUUCUAGUUUCAGAAUGCAGGCAUUGAAUCAAUCUCAUUUGCACGCAUGUUCUCAUCAAAUGGCCAGGUGAACGUAAGACAUCAACAUAAAACUUAAGUCUAGUAUUAAAGCUGGUAAUAAUCAUUUGAAAUUGUGCUUUUCCUUCUUGAUCUAUAAAGAAAUAGCUUACAGAAUAUGUGAUAUAAACAGGCAAAUUCCCCAACAGAAGCUCUGCCUGAAAAAGCCUUGCAAUGAAACUGGCAUUCUCUUCAAGAGUUCCUUUAAACGUUACAUUCCCCCCUCCACUAUAUGAUGCUUCCUUGAAACUAUAAUUGCAAAUAAAUGAUUAGGUGAGGCAGAGCUUUGAUGCACAAUAUAGAUCAAUGGGUAAACUUCAAUUAAUCCCCUACUUAGAAUGACAAUCUUUAAUCUACCCCCUUUUGCUGUUAAGAAGACAAAAAAAUUCCUCAAGAAGCCCUCCAUUUACCCUCAUUUUCUGAACGAAAAUUGGGGUAAAUUGGGGUUUCACACUUUUGAGGGGUAAAUUGAAGAUGGUUAUUUUAUUUAGGGAUGAAUUGAAGUUUACCCUAAACAAAUUAAUGAAAAAUAGAGAUUGUGAACGAGGAAUGCACUGUUGAGGUAAUGUAUGACAGCUUAAGCAACUAACAGCAAAUCCCACCAAAACAUGGAGAUACUGAUGUAUUCUAAUUCCAUGCUUAGAUCUAAUUUUACUUUGGAUGCUUUGCUCUUGAGUUUUGAUGGCAGGAAAAAUAGAGCUGUGCAAGAGGUUGAGCAGACCAUUUUUCAUCCUUUGGGACAACAUACUUUCUUAUUCUCAUGAUAAGACCUAUAAUCUGAUGUAUCACAGAAAGAUCAAAAUAUAUCAAAUCAGAUUACAGUACUUAAUGGCUUAGACAACUUCCCAUUACCCACAUAAGAAAAUGUAUAUCAUGUGGCAUACCAUCCAUGGAAAUGGAAACUGUAAAUCAGUUGAGAUUUUACAAAUAUUAGGAGAAAUAAACGAUCUUUAAAACUUACUCAACAAGGACUUGAAUAGUAUCUGGAUUAGGGUCAUCUUUAAACUCAAGCAUAGGCUGCCACAAGUAUAGGGGAAAGUUAAAGCGGAUAAAGAGUUUGAUGGCUAGAGCAACAACAGGUCAUGUUUACGUAGAACAUUUUCAUUUCUGGAGUAGUAUGACUAUUAUUAUUGUCAAUAUGACCACAGUUUUAAACUACAAAAAGUAAGAACAAAAGAAACACAGGUCUAAUCAGUGCUUACCUGAAAGCCUUGGGAAGAAAUGUUAUUCCACGGAGUGUCUAACAUUUGCUCCCCCUCAAGAGAAAUAUGUAAACCAUGACCCUGAACAAUGUUGUGAUGGUCAGUAUUCUAUGAACUGGCAUCUUAUGAGCAGCAAUUGACUGGUGCCCAGCACUAAGGUUUUAAAUACAAGAACAGAGUAUGAAAUUUAACAUAGUUGCUACCUGAUCAAAAUUUGAGUAGAAUGGUAAUACUUUGGGGUAAUUUUGUAGAAUUCCCCAUGACUUUUCAACAAGGGACCACCAACUGCAGAAACGAACGUAUAUGAAAAUGAAGCUUACCAAACCAUUGUAUAGAUAUUAGAGGAAACUAUCUCAACAAUGAAAGUAAGAGUUACACUGCUAUAGAUGAGCAGCAUUGGAAAGAUCUUCAAAUAAUUGAAGUAGUAAAACAGAACAUAAAUCAUAGUCCGGGACAGGUCAGGUAAGAGGAACCCAAGUAUCAUUGAAAGAAUUCAGCAAAUUUUGAAAAUUUGUGUGGCUUUAACACUAAAAGAUAUGAAAAUCUGUUGCUAUGAGGAAAAAGAGGAAAGUUUUGAAGACGAGAAUAAGUUCAGAAGUGAAUAGUGACAUUUUUCAGCUAUUUAUGCUCCUAAGAAGAGGGUCCAUAUGGCGUCCCAGAUGAGUGCUGUUCCCACCUUUGUGAAAUACAGUAAACAGGGUAUACUGAUAGUAGCAAAAAUACACAGCAGCUGUGUGUGUAUGUGCGCAGAACUUCCACAUUCAUGGAAUUUCACAAAGGAUAGGAGGAUUACUGAUUUUGAGCAGUCUGAAAGUCAGGUGGCUGCUUAGUCUCAUAGAUCCAUCCAGGAGCAAAUAUGGCAGCUGACACAUCAUCCUUCUUUAUCACAUCCAGAGCGACAUUUGUCUGAUUUACAAAGAAUAUAGUUACGAAAGAAAACUUUCCACACUUCAAAAAAUUCAAACUACCAGAACUUGUACAUAACUCUGUUUUACAUAAUAAUAUCUGGCAUCAUGAUGUGAAUAUACUUUAAAACAUGUCUAGUAAGUAAAGACUCAAAAGUACAUAUUACAUGGGAGUUGAAGAUAAUUUCGCAACCAAUAAAUGAAAUACGUCGAAGUAUGCUACUUCAACAAGAAAAACAAUCAAACAGGUAAUCUUAAUUUGGUUUGACAGAAAGAUGAGCUAAUUUAUCUUGCUUACCGAACUAGUAUGUCACCACAAGUGGGUAGAAGAGACUUUUGAAAAAAAAAAAAAAAAAAAAUUCAUAGAAGCGACUUAGAAGAUGGAAAAAUUCAAACUUCUCCUAAUAGGGUCCACAUUGAAUGAAAUCAAUUGGAAGAUUAGAUAUAAUAUAAUAUAGAAUUAAAACGUAGACUGUAAGAAACUUUUAAGAUGAAGAUUCACAAAUCUCAUAAAGUUAACAGGUCACAUACAUUCCAUUUUCCACCUCCAAAAGUGUUCCUUCCAAAUACAUCUAUUCCCAUGUAGACAUCAAACUUCCUAUCACCUGCAACAGCUGCUGAAAGCUUUGGAUAGUCUUCCUACGAGGCAACCAAGAAUUAUUGAAUACAAGAAUCCACCAUUAAGUUCCAUACAAGGGGCAAAGAUAAGGGCUUACCUUCCAUGUAUAGUUUACAAAUAUGCCGUCACAUAUAUCAAAGAAAGGUUUAUUUUUUUCAUUCAGUUGGUCUUGCCAGUCAAGUUUCCCAUCAAUUGUAACACUGUCAUACCUGCAAAAACAAUAUUAAUCGAUAAAAUAUAAAUUCAAGACAAAUUACUACAGCACAAAAUUCAAGAGAACGUAGCAUAUCCUAAUGGUCACACUCACCAGAUAGCCAAAGAUCCAGGCACUGAGGAGUGCAUAGUUUGAGUUAAAUGGCUGACAAAUUCUUUCAAGUUAGGGAUUUGAUCUACAUCCAGUUCAACCUCCAUAUUAAUCUGCAAGUAACAGUUCCCAUAUCAACAACUGAAAGGGAGUGCACAGACGACACUCUAUGUAGCACAUAAAACUGAAAAAAGCUAGAAGAAAAUCAAAAAGUCAGAGAUUUAAUAAAACCUAUACCAGCCACCCAUCAAAGCCCAAAGCAACCGCAAGCUAUGCCAAGCGCUCAGCAUAAGUAUGAGCAGACUCCUUUGUAGAUAGCAAUUCAGUGGCAAUAACUUUUCCUUCAUCCCCUUCUGUGAUGAAAGUCCCUAAAACCUAUUAUUCCAUGAGCACAAGAGAAAUAUCAUCAUAUACAAUUAAAAUUCCUCAAGUCAUUCACUUAUCACUCUCAUGGAUUGAGAAUAAAGUACACCAUCAAUAUUCAAAAUGUCAAGCUACCAAAGGAAUAAAAAAUAAAAGGCAAAUCAUGGUCUAUAAUAAUAAUUAAAAAAAAAAACUCCCAAUUGGAUAGCCUUGCACCACCAUGUCGUAAUCAUAUCAUGGAUACCAUCUAGACAUUGUGAGCUUACACUGCACCAACUGUAAAGCAUAGUACUUGCCCUCGGAAAAAAUUUCUGCUCAGUCUCUAUAAUUAUUGUUAUAACAGCUAUGGUCAUUUCCCAUAAUUGAUCAAUCUUUCAUUCAAGAAUUUAACCCCCCACCCCCUACUCACACACAAACUCACAGAAAAAAAGGAAAAUCGUCUUGAUGAGUACAUUGUCGUUGAACAUAUUAUAUUAAAAGAUCAUUAAUAAAGUUGAAUAAAGAAAAAGCAAACACUACAAAGAGUAAAAGCUUAUAUGAGGUUUUUAUCCACAAUCAAUCAUUUCCUCCCUUAAACUCCAUACACUACAAACAGUGAAAGCAAACACAAAAUUAAAACCAAGAAGCAAAGAAAACAAAAGCAAAACAUAAAAGGCAUGUCUUUUAAUUUUCAACUAACUAAGCACUUAUUGUUCAAGAACGAAAUAUAAAUUAAAAAAAAAAGAAAAAGAAAAAGAAAUUGCACUACCUUAACGCCAUGUCUGUGAGCAGUGUUAGUCCAACAAGGAGGAGGCAAAGUGACCAAACUAUGAGAAAAAUAAACAAAAACAUCCAUCAAAUGCCAAUGCCAAAUAGCGUAGGCGUCGGCAUUGGUCCCACCUUGGACCCACUUAUCAUCCACGUAGCCACCUUGCAUGUCAUGGCAAACCAAAAUCCUCGGCCUGGCAGGUAGAGUUGGAGACGCACCGUUCAGAGGAUGAAGAGGAACAGUCGACUUAUUAAAAGGGUAGUGAAAGGAGUCAAAGUAAGCGCGAGAGUGAAGAUCUUGGAGGGUUUUAAUGGGGUAAGAGAUGGGAAUCGACGGCUGCAAUGGGUCGAACGGAGGAGGAUCGACGGCUGAGGAGUCGUCGUUGGAAUUGGACAUGGUGAUGAAGAGAACGAGGGAGUGGAGAGUUUUUUUAAGUGAGAGGAGGGAGUUGCGGAGAGUUUUUAGAGUUUGACGAUUGAUGUAAGUCCGAAGAAGAUGAUGAAGUAUUAUUAUUAUUAAGAUACAUGGGACGACGACGAAGACGAAGACGAAGGUCAAGUCUUGACAGUGAGUUUGGAACAUGGCAGGAAGCUUCGCUUUUGCUGUGCCUUUAAAUGCUUUUGUUGACUUCGUUCUUGGUCUUCGUCAUCGCUUACAGUCAGUCAGUCAGUCAGUCGACUGUACAUCAACAACUAUUCUACAAGUGCUGGUGAAUAUAACAUUGAAGCUUGAGACUACUCAGACACCUUCACCAUUAUAGAAGCAUAUUUCUUUCAUCCAUCUCUCUGUUACUAUUCAGUUCCGUAAAUUUUACCAACAAUCACAAGGAAGAGCAAGUAAGCUAAGAUAUUUCUGGAAAUUCGGAUCCAAUCAAUUUCAUUUGUACCGGUGUUUAUCACAUGCUUUAAAGUCAUGGUUACUUCAUAGCGAAUGGCAUAAUUUAUUCAACUGAAUAUAACAAGAUCAAAUACAGAAUUACUGAUUAUUAAGAAAUGCACAGGGAACUCCAGUGAGAGACAGUUCUUCUAAUCUACAAAAUUAUUUAAAUAUUUUUGUAUUAAGUGCCAAUGGGGCAAGAAAUUUCCCUGAGGUGUGACAGAACACCAAUAAUGCAUAUCAUUAGAGGAGGGCAAAACAAGCUUUACAUGGGUUGGGGCACAACCAGACGGCAGGUUAAGAUUUCUUCUCAUUGAGGGCUGACAACACCCAAUCAACAUCAAAACUUGCAGAAUCAUGACCUGCAUGAUGCACUUAUAGCAACUCUUCUGUCCCCGUCAUCUUUGCAAAUUCACUUUCAUCUAUACUACCCUUUUUUAGCUUUUUUAAUAGGCGGUAAUCCCGGGCCAGCUCAUCUUCGUCUUCGAUUGCCUGGGUAGCACGUCUCUGUUUUGCUGUUUUCUUCCUCAUCACAGUAGUUGCAGCAUCUGAGGCCUUGUUUGGUUUCUGUCGUUUUGGUUCUUUCUGCUGUGCCUCUUUCUUUGCUUGCAAAUUCUUCUUCCUUUGUUUCUCACGUGAUUUAUCCCUGAUUUAAUAUAGUUAUCAGCUAUGGUCACAGGCGUACACAGAUCUUAAAAAUAAAAAAAUAAAAAUUAAUUCCAUCAAUGCUGCAUAUGUGAAAAAGCAUAAAUGAUAAGAGGAAUGUGAUGUUGGAUGAUUCUUAUACAAAAAUCAUAAGGUUUCCCAUCAUUUUCCUUUCAAUACUGAAAAAAGAGGCAAAAGAAAUUCAGCUAAUUUUGCUGCAAGUUUGCCUUGGAAACCAAAAAGGUUUUGAACAAUGGUCUGUCUGAACUUGGUUGAAAAAAUAAAUUUAUCUUUUAAAAAUAUUGAAAGAAGUCAAUAUCUUGCUAAAUGAAAAAGAAGAAGACUGGUUGUGAAGUGAAAGCAUUUAAGAAAUUCACAAAUCGAAUAUGGGGUUUCUUCCUCUAUGAUGACUUCCAUGUCAAUUGUCAAUGCAAAUUAUUAGGCUCUUUGAUUCUAUUUAAUCAACAAAUUUUGAUAACACAUUGUUAGUUCUUACUUGUACUUGAUGUCCUCCAACUUGAUGUCUUUAACUGGGACGAAACCCUUGGUGGAAAGAGAAUGGAUCUUUACCUCAGACAUUGAAGGAAGUUGUAGUAAGCCAUAACCCAUAGCCAAUUUCCCGACCUCAAGUUCUUUCCACCUAUAUAAUAUGAUGGAUAAAAAACAUUAUAACGAAACAAUAAAAAAUGCAGAGAGAAAUUAUGGAUAGAAGGCAGUAGUGACCUGAAGAUAUACGAGCAGUGAUGCUCUUUAUAUGCACGUAUAUAAGAAACAAAUGCUCUGAGACCUUUCUCCAUGACAUCACGGUCUUUUUUUGCUGCAGAUCGAAUCUGAAACAAGUUUUGAUACUAUGUUGGAUCAACCAUUUUCUUCUCACUACACACCGGAAUAUAUAGAACAAAUUUCCAAAACCAAAAACAAUGGAAGAGAAUAAGAUAGAAAUCAUGAUCACCUCAGGAACUACAUCAGAAGCAUCAUCAGAGCAUUUCCUCUCUUGAAGAGGAACCCUUCUUAUCCGCAGGAAUUCUACAUAAGCUUCCUCCUGAACAAGUAUAAUUAAAUUAAUUUCCCUAGAAAUUUUUCUUUAACAAGAAUAGUACAUGAUAAGGGAGUCAGUAUGCGGGUGAAAGACACCUUGGGUGAUAGGAAAACAAUGGAGCGCCCUUGUCUACCCAACCUAGCAGUUCGACCAACUCUGUGAACGAAAACAUUUGGAUCUUGAGGGGGAUCAUACUGCAAGAUAACAAACACAUUAACCACCACACAUAAAGUAACACGGAUAAUGACUGGUCUACUUUUCUGCAAUUUACAAAGUCACCUGCACUAUACAAUCAACACCAGGAAUGUCAAGUCCACGUGCAGCAACAUCCGUACAUAGAAGAAUGCCACUUGAAAGAGAUGUAAAUGAAGCUAAUGCUUUCUCCCUAGCAGUCUAUUUGUAAUCAAAAUCAAUCAAAAUGAGUAAUAAUAUACACCAGCCGACUUCUGAAAUUGUAAUAUAAGAUUCUGAGGAUAUUUCAAUAACUAACAUCCUACCUGCUUCAUCUUUCCAUGAAGAGGAAUCAACGAGAGACUCUUCAAAACAGCCAGACGUGGAAGAACAACUCCCCAGUAGUCAACACAAGCACAAGUCAUGAAAUAUCUGAAGACAUACAUUAAUCCUAUUAUGAAAUUAUGAUUAAUCAUAGGCCAUUAACUACAAAAAGAUAGCAUCAUCCAUCCUCUGAGAAAUUUCCAUGCUGAACUUACAUUAUAAUCUUUUUAGACUUGUUCUUUAUAAGCAGAUCAACAAGUUGUGAUGGUUUCUCAUCUGGUUCACAUUCCAAAUACUGCAGAAUCAGAGGAGAAAUUAAUUCAGAAUAAAUGCAGAACUUACAAAGACUAUUAGUGUUCAAAUCAUAACAAAGGGUUACUAUUUUUGUCAAAUUAGGGGGGGGAAAUCCAAUUAGUCUGAAAUGACAUCAAACAUGAAUAUUUAGCACAACCCAGAGUUUGCUUUAUGGCUUUGAAGAAGAGGAUAAAAAAUUAAUUCAAGUGACUUCCAGAUUCAAUAAAUGUCUUCCAGGAUCUAAUAUGUCAAAUUAAAAUUCCAAAAAUCAUUAUUUGAGUUUAUUUGGCUUCAAUUCUGUUUAACCACAUGCAACGUAAAUUGCAACCAAAAUAUAUUCACACACAACACCUCAAGAUGAAGGCCUAAAGGUGUUUUCGAAGAGGCUAGUUGCUGCGAUGAUGCCGAUACAUGAUGUGAUUUUGAUUCUGCUCGCACUUCAACCCUCACAGGAUUCCUCAGCCCUGCUUUGGAUAGCUCUUCAACUGCCUCAGUUUGAGUAGCUGAAAAAAGGCCAGUUCUACGAAGUUUAGGCAGGCGAGAUAUGAUGUAACUGAUCUGUUUCUGGAAUCCCAUAUCCAAGAGCCUGUCAGCCUCAUCUAGAACCAAAAUCUGCACAACCAGCAAGAUGAAGCUGUAAGGUCACCAAAGUACAGGAUCCAAGUAUUAUCUUUGUGAAAAAUUGUUCAAAAAUUACAUUCUAAAUUAGUGUAAUCUUCAGUCAUAAUCAUUAAACAUCUGUCAAUUGUCUAGUUAAGUCUUCAUUAAACAAAUCCAGAGGCUACUGAUCCUUGCACUCAUUGUGCAUUGUCAACUGACAAACUAUAAAUUCAGCAACAUGGAUUAAAAGUCCUCUAGAUAAUCACUAACAACAAAAACAAGGUGUGAAUUGAAGCCAAGAUUUCCAUAAAAUAGAAAAGACAAUGAAGAUCAUCAAUCUCUAUCCAAACCAAGAUUAGAAAUUAAUACAUUAUAGAGAAUCAAACAUCCAAGCAACUACCUCAAGGUUCCGAAAAUCCAAGACAUCCAUACGUUCCAUUAUAUCAUAUAGCCUCCCAGGUGUCCCGAUCAACAAAUUUGCUCCUUCUUCCUCUAUUUUCUUCACAUCUGCUUUCACCUCCACACCUCCCACAAGAAGCACAGACUUAACAUCCGGUAAAGUUGAGAUGAACGGCUGUGCAACAUGGUAUAUUUGCGAUGAUAGCUCCCUUGUUGGUGAGAUAAUCAUCCCCAUUAUCUGCUCUCAAUUCAAAAACUAAUUUCUCAACAAAGUAAUCACUAAAAGCAAAUGCAAUUCACUCGAUACAUAAUAAAAUUGCCAGUGCAAUGCAAUCAAUUUAUUUAGAAUCAACUACAACUAGAAGUAAAAACUAUUCAAGUACUUAGAAGAACUAUUUGACUAUUUUCUAGUGCGGUGCUAAGAGAAGCAAAAGUGCUCACGCAAAGUGCUUUUCAAAGAAUCAGUAAGAGUUUUUGUAGAAAAUUUAACUGAAAAAUAAAUCAUAUGCAUUUUUUGGGUAAAAAGUAAAAAAAAAAAAAAAGCUAUUUGAGCUCGUUGAGUUCAUUUAAAUAUAAAUUUCUAUGUUUUAAUUUAAUUUUCCUGAAGCUUCUAGGCAGCCAAACACAAAUGAGAAAAUGUUUUGGACCUGGUGGGGUUUCCGAGCAGAAGAGGCACGGCGGAGGAUCUCCACUAGAGGGACGACAAAAGCUAGGGUUUUGCCAGAGCCGGUGGCGGCGUCCACGGCUACGUCCUUGUAGCUGCAUAACAAAGGGAUUGUGGCAGCUUGAACAGGCGUGCAAAACUCAAAGCCGGCUUCAGCUAAGGCUUCGAGAACUGGCUCGGAAAGCGCCGGCUUCAAAUCGGAAAAGCGAGUUUCUGUUAACGCUUUGUUCGGGUUGGACUCCAUUCUAACGGUUCAAGGCAAGCGCGGAUUCGGAGUCAGAUAGCAUCCAUUGAUACCUACUGAAAACAUAUCAAAUCAGUCCCUUAAUUUUAUAUUUAUUUCUCGAUGAAAAACAAAGGCUUCGGUAGACAGUGGAGUUGUUCUACUGUAGAGAACUGACGGUGAUCCUUACGUUAUAGUAAUAAGUGUAGAUUUAAUAUUUAUUUUUAUGAUCGUACGGUUAUCAACAAUAUUUUACCAUUGAGUAGAUAAUUUUUUAUGAUUGAGCGGUGAAAAUUAUGAGCAUGACCCUAUUAUUGAAUAAUGUAGUAUAACUACUAUAAAUUAACAUUCUUUGAACCAUAAAAAAUCUAUUAAUUUAAUAAAUAUUAGUACAUCGAGUACAUCGAGUAAAGUUGUAUGAUACAUUUUAAUUAAAUCUUGUUUAAAUGUAUCAAUCACUUAAUAAUUCAUUGAUUAGAUUGUACAACUAGAUUACAAUUAUAUAGUAACACAUUAGAAGAGCACUUGGAGGAAAUAUAUUAAGUUGACCUCUCUCUUAUUCCUCUUCACAUAUUACAUUAGUAUAAUAACAGAAAUUAAUUUCAAGCACGAAACAUUGAAAAUUUAUUUAUCAAAAACCUCAUAGACAUAUGAUAUAUAUUUAGUUUCAAUUCAGGUAAUUAUUAAUAUACCUAUUAAUUGGGUCGGUAGAAAAACAAGAAUGUUUUGAAAGUUUUUUAUUUAAUAACUUCUCAAAUGAUUAAGUUAUCAUGUUGGUCCCAAGUUGGGAGAAAAAAGUAAUUAUUUAAUCAAGAUUAUGAAUUUAUCGAGUAUUAAUUUAAUGAAGUUCUGUUGUAUAGUCAAUUUUUUUAUUUUUCUAUUUUUUACUAAUUUUAUAGUCAAUGGACAAAAGUAGCCAUCAUUAGAACCCCCUUUGGGAUUAUAGUUAAAAUGCUAUAAAUAAUUUAUUUCAUAAGUUUUGGUAAAAAUGGUGUUUGAUAAAUUUUUUAAAAUGUUAUUUAUUUUAUAAGUUUCUACAUUUUUGCAGCAGACUUUUAAAGUUUUUUAUAAACAACUUAUUAAAUAGAGUACCACACUUUUUUAAUUUUUUAUUGUAAUUUUAAUAUUUUAACAAAAGGAUAAGUAUAUCUUACUUUUUCACAAACUCUUAUAUGCUUAUAUACAAACAAAAGAAAAUUUACACUUAUGUUUAUUUAGGCCAUUAUAUAAUAAAAUAGUACUUUGAUAAUAAAUUUACCAAAGACACAUACUUUUUUUUUAAAAAAACUGAAAGUAAUUACAAUAACACAAUUUACUAAACACUGAGUUAUUUUUGUUAACAUAUAUGUUUUCAUAAUGUUGAUUUUGAUGAUAACAAACAAGAUUAAGAAUGAUAUAUUUUUUAAGCUCAAAUUAUUUUUGUGAAAUCAUUCUUUAAAUACAUGAAAUGUUUGUCAUCAUAAAAAAGGGGGAGAUUGUUAACAUAUAUGUUUCCAUAAUAUUGAUUUUGAUGAUAACAAACAAGAUUAAGAAUGAUUAAUCUUUUAAGCUCAAAUUAGUUUUUAUACAUUUUAAAUAAAUCAUUAUUUUUACAUUAUAAAGGUUUUAUAUUUAAUGGAAAAAUGAUUUUAUGAAAUUGAUUGUUUUUAGUUUUUUAAAUAAAUCAUUAUUUUCACAUUAUAAAUAUUUCAUAUUUAAUGGAAAAAUGAUUUUAUGAAAUUGGUUGUUUUUCAAAGUUUAUGGUUUAAUUGAAAGAAUUUUGAAUACUUUGAAAUAAACAAGUAUUGCUUGAAAUUUUGGUAAAUGACUUAUUUGAAAAGUGUCAUAGCAUCUUUGGCAUAUCAUAAUUUCAAAAAGUUUUGGGAUUAACAAAAUAUUAUUUAGAAAUUCUGAAAUUGGACUUAUUUGUAAAGUUUCAUAACGUUUUGGGCCGUAGUAUAGUUUUGUAAAGUUUUGAGGUCAAACUAUAAUUUCAAAAAAUAAUGCACUGUGAGUAACGGCUAGUUUUUGAGUUCAAACUAUAUAAACUCAAAACCAAUUCAUUUUUGCAAAUCCAAGCAAGCAAGAACAAGUGCACACAACAUAUAUUGAGCUUCAACUUCUUGAAUCAUCAUUCAUUAAAUCAUCUUUGUUCUUCAAUUUGUAUAUCCACUCUUAAAGAGAGAUUCAUUGUUGUGUUUUUCAUUUCUCAUCAAAUUGUGAGAGUACAAGUGUGAAAAACACUUGGGGUGAAGAGAUUGAAGAUAUAAUCUCUUGUUGUAAAAGUUCAUUGACACCUUGAAGUCAAUUGUAAACGUUUGAAGUCUUAGAAAGGCUUGGAUAGUGGAAUCCUCAAGUUUGGAUCGCUUGGAGGCGUGGACAUAGGCGGGGAUUGCCGAACCACGUAAAAAUUCAUGUGUUUGUUUCUCUUCUCCUUUACUCUUUAAUUAUUGUGCUUUUGUUGAACUUAUUGCUUUCAAUUUUUAUUAAGACAUUAGAUUACUUGUUGUGUGAAUUUGCUAGGAUAAUUUUUAAAUUUCCAAUUCACCCCCCCUCUUGGGUUGCAAACUUGUAUUUUGAAUUUUUUCAACUAGCAACUUAUUUCAACCGCACAACAUAAAACAUCUUAUUCCAUCCACUACAAGAAUUCUAAACUAGUCCUGAGUCUAUUGCUUAGUCAUUUGUGUACACUAUUUGAAAUGAAGUUGUGGGUUUGAGUUUUCAUGUAUUUAUGGUUUUUUCGAAAUCCACACAAUAAAAACUAAUGUGGGUAAGCAAAUAAGAAGUGUAGGCCAACAACCUCAUUAGGAAAGCACUGGCCAUGGUAAUGGUGUUUUAAGGUUUUAGGAUUUUAUGGGUGGGUAGAGAAUGGUGCAUUUUAGAAAGUGAGUGUCCAUAGUAUUGAUAUUUUAUUAAAUAAGAAUAUAAUUUACUUAUUUAUAUUAAAUGUGUGUUUUUAAAAUUUUUCCAAAUGAACUACCAAACAGUUUCUUAAUCUUAGACCAAUGACCAGCACUCACUAACGUAAACUCCUGAGACCGGGAAUUUGGUCUUCUUAUGAGGACUUGGUUAACAGAGCACUGCAAAUUAUGCAUUUAAUUAAUAAAAUAUUAAUGGGCAGGGAUCUAAAUGAUAAUAUCCCCAUAAUAAACGAAAACCAUUCAUAAAUAGUAAAAAGGAUUAAACAACGUCGUUUAAAAGCCCUAUAAAUUGUACAAAGACAAGCGGCUGCAAAACCCUUUAGCUUUUCUUCUCUUGAACCUCUCAUCACACUAAGCAGUAGCCGACAUAGACAUCGAGGAGAGAAGACGGCUCGUAUCUGGUAACUUAACAGCCCUUCUCUUCGUCAUUCAUUUAACUUUCUGUCGAUGCAAAAUGUAUAAACCCUACUAACCUUGAAUAGUACUUUUUUUUUUCUUUUUAAUAGAAGAAGUCGUCAUAUGUAUUAGAUUGAAAACGAGUUCUAUUUAUUUAUUUAUUUUUGUUAGGCCGAACCUGUGAUUGCUUGACUGAUUGAUGUCCGUUAAUUGGUUUUCACUGUGUUAAUUUGAUAGUAUGUUUUUGAUUCUUCAUGAAUAAAAUUAUAAAUUUUGUGCGUGAAUUCUGUAUACAACUAUUAUUUGUGUGCUCGAAUUCAAUAUUACAUUAACAGAGAUGUAUUGAACAAAUAUGAUGUUCUGCCUGAUUCCCAAAUUAUUAUGAUUAUGAUGAUGACAACGAUGAUGAUGAUGAUGAUGAUGACAACGAUGAUGAUGAUCAUGAUGAUGAUGAUGAUGAUGAUCAUGAUGACGACGACGAUGAUGAUGAUGACGACGACGAUGAUGAUAACGACGAUGACGAUGAUGAUGACGAUGACGAUGAUGAUGAUGAUGAUGAUGAUGAUGAUGAUGACGAUGAUGAUGAUGACCAUGAUGACGACGAUGAUGACGAUGAUGAUGAUCCAUAGAACCCAAAUUAGCUCAACCAUCAUGGAAGGCCAAUCUAUCACUAGACCUCCAUUUUUCGACGGAAAUGAUUAUCCUUAUUGGAAAAUUAGGGACUGGUCGUUGAAACAAGACAUCUGUGCUUUAGCAGCAAACUAAAGUCGCAAAGGGGCAGCUGAUGUAAAUAGCUGGUGAUGCGAAGGGUAGAUCAGGGAUGAAACUUUAAUUGGAGUUUGGUGAUGGACGGAUGUGAUUGGUGAUGAGUCAGGAUUUUGUCUGUGGGACAGGUUUUGAAUUGCGAAAUUUGAUGCGUUGGAGCACGUGUGAGAGUUGUCACUCGCUCCUUCUGCACUUCUUGCUUUUACUAAUUGUGGCUUGAUUAUGGCUUAAUGGGUACUUCCAUAAUUGCUUACCCAAUCUUCAAUUUUACAGCGAAGGUGUGUGUGUAUAUAUACAUAUAUAAAUAUAUCUCUAAAGGCAAGUCAAAAAAAGGGAAAAAUGCAAAAUUGAGUUACUAAUAAAUAUUCGUAAUGCGCUUUUAAAUAUGCUCAGAUUUUUUUUAAUCUUUUUAUCGGAUAAAUCUAUAGAAAUUUCCCCCCUUAAGAUGAAGUCACAACGACUAUCAAAUAAUCCGCACACCCACCCACCCCUGUUAUGGCUUAAUUUGACUCCUAGCUUCAAUUAACUAAACACGGUUCAAUUAAAAAAAAAAUUGAAAAAACAAAUAUAAAUGUUUGUAGGGUCCAACUAUGAUAUCUAUUUGUAUCAUAUGUUACACUGCUAAAUGAUUAGAAAAUCAAAUAAAAUAGAUAAAAUCUGAUUAUCUAAUAAUGCCUUCACAACCUUAACUUUAAUGCAGAAUUUAAAUAAUUUUAGAGUAAUGAUAUAGUCAAAAACUCUUGUACAAACUUAUUUUGUAUAAAUUGAUGUGCCAUAAUAAAAUUGGUUAAAAUAAAUAUCUCUUGCCCCACAUAAUUUAUUUAUAUUAUUUUAUGUUUUCAUUCAACCAAUGAAUUGAUGCCACAUCAUUUUGUAUAAAAUAAAUUUGUAUAAGAGUUUGUAGUUGUAUCAUCAAUCAUAAUUUUAACAUUUUUUCAAAGUAAAAAUGUGUUAGAUCAAGACUUUUUGCCGACAAUCUUCAACUUAAGAGGAAGAUAUUUUGCAACAAAGGUUUUUCUAUUCUGUAACUCAUUGGCACAUCAACCUUUAUUUAUGCUCUUGUGCUUCUUCUUCUUCUUCUUCUUACGACAUUUGUAUGUUAUGUAUGUUAUGUAUAAUAUACAUCACUAAGAAGACAAGUCGGACAAGUGGGAAGAAGAAUGGAAUAAAGAAGCGCAAUGAUCUAACUAGAUAAAGAAAUUUCAUCCAUUCAUUAAUCUUACAACAGUUGUAUGUUAUGUAUAAUAGUCCUCAUCGACUUUUCACUACGAUCUUAUUACCAUGUGAUAAAUUUGUAUCGAAUGUAAGAUACAACUAUUCGAGGGUAGCACCUCUUCAUUCCAUACAAUUAUAUCAUAAAAAAAAACUUUAAAAAUAACAGUUGUAUAAAUGUUAUAACAGUUACACAUUUGAUUUUUUUUUUUACUCAAUAUCAUCAUCGUGGAUCUUAUUAAAUUACAUAUGAUAUAACUUGUAGUAACCAAUAAAUAAUUUUUUUAUCUAGCUCAAUUGUAGUUAGCCAAAUAACUAAUGCGUUAUGGGAAACAACUCAUAGGUUGAUCGUUGAUGUAAGUUACGUUUGUUGUAACUUAGUUGUUUCCCAUUAUUGUACCUUUCAAUAUAUAUAUAUAUAUAUAUAUAUAUAUAUAUAUAUAUAUAUAUAUAUAUAUAUAUAUAUAAUCAAAUAAAAAUAUUUUCUUUUUAACAGAGCAAAUAUGCUACUAAUAAAUAAAAAAAUACAAAAUUUUAACACAUUAACAAAUAAAAAGAUGUAAUACAGUUAAUGUAAUAAUGCAAAUCAAUGCGUUAAACGCAUUGAAUGUCAAAAGUUUGACAAUAGCACUAAUCUUUUAGUCUAUUAUUUAUCCUCAAAAUAUUUGUCUAAACAAUCUACAGUCUAAACCGUUGAUAAAAAAACAGUGAUCUAACUAGUGAUGUAUUAAAAUCCAACAAUAACUAAUUUUUUUUUCUAUGGCAACUUUUAAGUUACAGGAUGAAAAUAAAGAUAAGAGUCGACAAAAUUUUGUACAUAUUUUACAACGUUUGAUUAGUGAAGUUUCAAAAAUUGAAUCAAGUCCAAUCCGCUUAGAACCAAACGACGUCGUCCGUCAAAAUUUCGUUGAUCAACGCUCCAUAAAUUGUCUAAUAUAAUUUCCUAAAGGAUGAGGACUAUGCCUGUUGAGUCUAGUCUAAACCCCAGCUCAAAACAUUAAAAAAUUUGACAUUUUGCCCCUAAAAAGAGCAUGGAUGAUCGUAUUGGUGAAUUGCCAGAUGAUAUUUUGAUAAGUAUUUUAUCUCGCUUAACAAUUGAUGAGGCAGCAAGAGCCAACGUUUUAUCAUACAGAUGGCGAUAUUUAUGGAGAUCUUUCACUGGUUCUUUGGACUUUAUCAACCCCUACUAAAUUCGGCGCUUGGCAAUUUUUUCUGAUCCAUUACAAAUCUGAAGAUAAUUAUUUCAUUCCCGUGAAAAGGCGAAACUUUAUAAAUCUUGUUGAUGCAAUUUUGGGAUUACUUCAAACUAAAUAUUUACAAUAGUUAAGAAUUUGUUGCCCCCUUAAGUCUGAUUAUGAUGUUGAUAGUUGGAUUCAUCAAAGGCUUGAGUUAGACUUUAAUGAGUCAAAGAAAGGCGAUCAUGAGUUACAUACUUUUUCACCAUAUUCAGAUACUUCCAGCUUCAGUUCACUUAUGUCCCUGCGUUUAACCGAUGUUGAUAUACCUGAAGAGACUCUUCAUUAUUUGCUAUAUUACUGUCCGUUGCUUGGGGAGUUAAGGCCGAAGGUUACUGAGAGAUUGAUGCGUAUUAGAGUCUCUGGCCGAUCACUCUAUUUGAAGUGCUUGGAGGUUCAAUUUUUUAAUGCCAGUUAAGCUAGAACAAUCCAUGUUAGUUGAUCUACGCGCUUGUUGGUAGUUUUCUUCCACAAUUAAGUACACUGAAAGUAAACCCGAUGCCUGUUACUGUAAGUAGGUUCAAUUUUAUUCUUUUUAUUUUUACAUUACCCUCGUGCAUUAGCCAAUAUGGAGACUUCUAUGUAUUUCUAAAUUUCCUAAUCUGAAGCAUUUGGAAAUGACUUUGGCUACAGCUGAUCGAGAUUGCUAUCAUCUCCAUGUUGCUUUUUUGAAAGCAUCUCCUUUAUUUUAGGAAUUCACGUUGAAGGUGGAUGUUUCCCCUUCUUUUGAUUUGAAAUUUGAAAUAUUUGUUGUUUGAAUUGCUGAACAAUAAAAUUUCACUUUUGAUUCUGUGUGCACGUGUCUGGUUAAAUGGUUUCCCCAUAAGAGUGUUCCUAUUUCAUUUUCAAAUCGCAUAUUUAUGAUACGAAUGUGUUAAUCCCUUGUCUGCUGUUAUCCCAUGCAGUGGAACCUUGUAUAUACGUACAAAACAUCAAGGAUGAUCCUCAUUUAAAUCUUAGAGGAGUAUCAUUCAUUGGGUUUGAGGGGCGUGAGGUAGAUGUUGAGUUUCUGAAAGACUUGCUUGAGAAUGCUGUGAGGUAGGAGAAGAUGAUCCUUGUAAAUCACAUUUUACGGGAAGUCCAAUGUGUUGUGCGCGGAAUGCGGAAUUAAGCGCACCAAAUAAUUAUAGAACAAUAAUGGACACAAAAUUUAUGUGGUUCGGUAAUUAAACCUACAUUCAUGGGAGCAAGAGAAAAAUAAUCGUAUUAUUAACAAAUUUGAGUAAAGAAAUCUCACUUUUUCAGAACCCAAAUACACCUAGUAUUCUCACACACACUUUUCAAUUGCUCACACUCUCAGAACUCUUAAAAGCUUAUAAACUUAUAAGCUUAACAAUUUUGGGAUAAUUUAGAAUGAAGAAAUGGCUUCAAUUUAUAGGCUUUAAGCUUGCACUAUUCCACCUAAUCCCUCUGCAAUUUGUCAAUCUUCAUCUCGGUCAAUUUGACAAAUUUUGCUAACUUUUCUAUUUUUCUUCAUUUGGUGCAAGAUUGUCAAAUGCCAAAUAUUUUACAGUUUGCAAUUUGGUGCCGACUUUGAAAAACAAAAACAAUACAUGUGACUCACUUUUCUUUUUCAACCAAAACUCUUUGACUUUUCAACACAAUGGUGUGGUCUUACAAGAGAAGUAAGGGUUACAAGUGUGGUAGGAUGUGUGAAAUUGAGUCGGCAGCGAAAUUCCCUCAUCUAGAACUUAUGACGCCAGAAAUCCUUGUGCCAUUAACUGAUCUAUGCAAUGUGUUAUGCUAGAUACCGAGACAAAUACGAGAUGCUGUAAUUGAUGUCUGCGAAAUUGUUAUCAGAAAUAACUUCGAUCAAUUCUGUGAUUAAAAACACCAUGUUUGUGUACCCUAUAUUUUACUUUGUAAACCACCACACAAAGCAACCCAAAACCCGAGAGCUCCCCACUCAAACGAUGGCGACCUUAUCCACGUCAUCAUCGCCACCAGAACAUUGCUGGAAUCCUUGGCAACAACAUGAUGAAAGGCGCUGCUGCCUACAUAUGCAAGGAGCACCGGCUUAGCUAGCGAAGGGCUAACUUCGUGUAGAACCAUGUAUCUUUAGUUAAUUAGAUAUAAUUGUUUAACUUAAACAGUAUUAUACUAUUAUUUUAUUCUUAAUAUCACGUUCUUCCAAUUUUUUUUUUAAUAUUUUUAUUUGUAUGAAUACUUGUUUUCUGAAAAAACAAGCAAUAAUGGUGGGAAAAGUGCCGAAGUCCCAAAUAACGAAUUCUAACUAUGCCAUUAGUGUGUUAGCAGUUAUUUAAUCUUUUAAGUUUUUUAAUAGUAGGUUAUAAAACACCAUCGUAUUGCGAUGCAAUUUAGAAGCUUUAACUCGUAUUAACAUUAAUCAAGUAAGAGACUAAUAUUUUAAUUAAUUAAAUGCAAAUCACUUUCGCAUAUUAUUUUUUUAUUUUCCAAUAAUGUAAUAUUAGAGUAUAGAUUAUAGAGGCGUUUGACCUAGAAUUCGGUUGAGUGAUUUCAAGCAUUUUUAUUUAAUUAGUCACCCGUGUUUAAAUCUUGGAUGAGAUAGGAGGUUAUAAAUUGAUUAGAACUUUGUACACUCGUCAGUCUUUGCACUAGAACUUAGAAUGAAUUAGUUUGGCAUUAAUCUCAUAGUUAUCUAAUUGAAUUGUUUAACCAAAGCAUGUUAAUAGAUUUGAUUUUUAAGAAAAAAAAAAUUAAUGAAGUUAUUGUUCAUAAAAUGAUAAAAUGACAAAGGUAAUCCAAUUAAAGUAGUUUUUUCACCGAAGAUUUUACCAAAUUUUUACUGUUAAUCAUUUCUUUCAACUUCCAAAUGGAUGUUCCAAUAUAUCUUCUUGCUAUUUCUUCCCCGUUACUAGAUUUAAUAAGUGUUCAUGACGAAUUACCAGAGCGUCGGGAUAAUUACUUUUUGCUUCCCUUUUUCUGCUGCAAUAUGUCUUCAAUGAUCGUAACACCGAGCACUUUCAUGCUGUUGAUCAUGUCGUCGGAGAUCAUCAUAGCGUUGUCUCUUAUCAAGUCUACCAAUUAUAACCUCUUGAGACUGAUGUCGGUAAUUUGUGCAAAUGUGCUCAUUGUAGGUUUGUUCCCUUCGUUGGUAUGGUCACUUAGUUGAGCGAAGCUCCUCUAUGAGUUGUUGUACGAGCUAUCAUUUGUCGUUGAGAGCAUAUUCUAAUUGUUCUUGCCACUAAUGCAUGUCCUCAAGUUAGAGGAGCUAAUUCAUUUUCAACUUGAUCUCUGUCAUCCUUGGGAUUAUUGGUGCCAACAUCUUCAGAGGAUCUAGAGGAACAGUGCCAUUCAAGUCUUGAGUCACUAUUAUGAAGGAAAUGGCGGAGGCCAUAGGCAUUUUGUGUUUCAAGAAAUGAGGUUUUUUUUUUUCAACGUUCCCCAUAGACGGUGUCAACUGUUGACACCAAAAAUUCACAUCAUAUACUGUUCACAGCUUAAAUGUCUGUGCAAGUUCACAUGAUUCUGUUUGAUAAUAUGCACAUCAAAGACUCGACCAUUCUUAUGAAAAAGUCAAGGCAGCCGAAAAGAAGCCAUAAGAUUUAAUUAUCUAAUAAAUAAGACAAAAUUCAGGCAUAGAACUUCUAAGAAAAUUGACCCAUUUUGGUUUAGUACAUGAAUGAACUUCCCACCGGCCAGAUCAGGAUAUAGGUUAAGUGAGAGUCAAAUGAAGUUUAAAGAAACAGAAUUUAAUUAAAAGUCACCAUGAAAAGACUAAGGAACGCGCUUGCCUUUUUUUUUUUAAAAAAAAAAAAAAUCAACUUCCAUGUUUUUUUCUUUUUCUUUUUAUAAUUCUCAAGGGAGACAAGAAAGAUAUGGAAUCCUCAUUUUCUCUUUUGAGGGCUCGAGGAUAAUACUUACCAAUUCAAUCAAAUAUCUUUCAUUCUUUCGAUUAAUUAUCUUAUUUCUUGAUCAUUCUUAUUUCAUAUAGGUUCCAUUUAUUUAAGGCCCUGUUCACAGAAUAGCUCUUCCUUUUCAUUGUUCUAUAGCAGUUAGUUUUGGAACUAAGCGCAGAGUCCAGUGUUCUUGAUUCUUCAAGCCAUGUAUGCCUAUACCCUCUUUCAAUAUCUUUGUUUAGUCUAUGUGUUGGGGACUCACUGAACUCGAGAAAAAUAUUACCUAGACCAAAAACGAUAGUCUCCAGUUUUGACUAACUCAGCUCUGCUCUUUUUCGGUAGAAAAAAUGGAGAAGCUUGUUGUGUGGUAAACAUAUUACUAAUGCCAAUGUGUCAUCACAGAACAGUUUUAGUGUAAGGAAUAAUCAUACAACAGUUGCCAGAUACAAACAACAUUAUUCUUCUUUUAAGGGGAUGAUAAAGUGCUAGAAUAUUAAGAUUACUUAUCUUUGACAUCCAGUAUAAGAAACGGAGACUUGUCCAUUUCUUGGACAAUCAUACAACAGUUGCCAGAUACAAACAACAUUAUUCUUCUUUUAAGGGGGAUGAUAAAGUGCUAGAAUAUUAAGAUUACUUAUCUUUGACAUCCAGUAGAAGAAAUGGAGACUUGUCCAGAUUCUGGCUUGUCCCCUCAACACUGCAUACUUGAAUAAUGAACUUGAGAGUAUCAGUGUUUGAAGGAAUGAUGAGGUUAGAAAUGUAAAAUGAUUCAACUCGUGCCACCCCAAGAUACUCUUGUGUUGACUCUACCCUUCCAUCCAGACUUCCGACUGCCUGUUUUGCUGGUUUCCCAAGAUAGAUAUUAUAUUGGGGGAAUACAGAAUCAUUCC
rnacentral:lncRNA from 1 species